AUUAGCACGGACUUAGAUAACAGGGAUUGGCAACACCACUCUCGUCUAGCGUAUGUAUUGUCCACCUCUUGUAUUUGUGCACCGAACCGUGACGACUUGUAACCCCAUGCUGAAGCCAAUUUACCUGUACUGCGCUUGCGUGUGACCUAACAGACAAGUUUCCGGUAUCGAUAACCACGUUGUUUACCUAGGUGAUGAGAGACCGAGAAUGUGACACUGAUUUGACAGAUCAGUACACAGUGUAACAACCAUGACUAAAACAAUAGAAAACGAAUGCAUACACGUGAUGAUGCCGCAAGCAUAUCUGUUCAUGUCAAGCAGCAUCAGCUAACCAAAAUGAAACUUGCUGUUCCAGGGACAGCUCCAGCACCAGUGUUCCUGUUGACAGCACCACUAGCUCAGAUCUGUUGUUCUUCAGG